UCUGGUUGAUCCUGCCAGUAGUCAUAUGCUUGUCUCAAAGAUUAAGCCAUGCAUGUCUAAGUAUAAGCAAUUUAUACAGUGAAACUGCGAAUGGCUCAUUAAAUCAGUUAUCGUUUAUUUGAUAGUUCCUUUACUACAUGGUAUAACUGUGGUAAUUCUAGAGCUAAUACAUGCUUAAAAUCUCGACCCUUUGGAAGAGAUGUAUUUAUUAGAUAAAAAAUCAAUGUCUUCGGACUCUUUGAUGAUUCAUAAUAACUUUUCGAAUCGCAUGGCCUUGUGCUGGCGAUGGUUCAUUCAAAUUUCUGCCCUAUCAACUUUCGAUGGUAGGAUAGUGGCCUACCAUGGUUUCAACGGGUAACGGGGAAUAAGGGUUCGAUUCCGGAGAGGGAGCCUGAGAAACGGCUACCACAUCCAAGGAAGGCAGCAGGCGCGCAAAUUACCCAAUCCUAAUUCAGGGAGGUAGUGACAAUAAAUAACGAUACAGGGCCCAUUCGGGUCUUGUAAUUGGAAUGAGUACAAUGUAAAUACCUUAACGAGGAACAAUUGGAGGGCAAGUCUGGUGCCAGCAGCCGCGGUAAUUCCAGCUCCAAUAGCGUAUAUUAAAGUUGUUGCAGUUAAAAAGCUCGUAGUUGAACUUUGGGCCCGGUUGGCCGGUCCGAUUUUUUCGUGUACUGGAUUUCCAACGGGGCCUUUCCUUCUGGCUAACCUUGAGUCCUUGUGGCUCUUGGCGAACCAGGACUUUUACUUUGAAAAAAUUAGAGUGUUCAAAGCAGGCGUAUUGCUCGAAUAUAUUAGCAUGGAAUAAUAGAAUAGGACGUUUGGUUCUAUUUUGUUGGUUUCUAGGACCAUCGUAAUGAUUAAUAGGGACGGUCGGGGGCAUCAGUAUUCAAUUGUCAGAGGUGAAAUUCUUGGAUUUAUUGAAGACUAACUACUGCGAAAGCAUUUGCCAAGGACGUUUUCAUUAAUCAAGAACGAAAGUUAGGGGAUCGAAGAUGAUCAGAUACCGUCGUAGUCUUAACCAUAAACUAUGCCGACUAGGGAUCGGGUGGUGUUUUUUUAAUGACCCACUCGGCACCUUACGAGAAAUCAAAGUCUUUGGGUUCUGGGGGAGUAUGGUCGCAAGGCUGAAACUUAAAGGAAUUGACGGAAGGGCACCACCAGGAGUGGAGCCUGCGGCUUAAUUUGACUCAACACGGGGAAACUCACCAGGUCCAGACACAAUAAGGAUUGACAGAUUGAGAGCUCUUUCUUGAUUUUGUGGGUGGUGGUGCAUGGCCGUUCUUAGUUGGUGGAGUGAUUUGUCUGCUUAAUUGCGAUAACGAACGAGACCUUAACCUACUAAAUAGUGGUGCUAGCAUUUGCUGGUUAUCCACUUCUUAGAGGGACUAUCGGUUUCAAGCCGAUGGAAGUUUGAGGCAAUAACAGGUCUGUGAUGCCCUUAGACGUUCUGGGCCGCACGCGCGCUACACUGACGGAGCCAGCGAGUCUAACCUUGGCCGAGAGGUCUUGGUAAUCUUGUGAAACUCCGUCGUGCUGGGGAUAGAGCAUUGUAAUUAUUGCUCUUCAACGAGGAAUUCCUAGUAAGCGCAAGUCAUCAGCUUGCGUUGAUUACGUCCCUGCCCUUUGUACACACCGCCCGUCGCUAGUACCGAUUGAAUGGCUUAGUGAGGCCUCAGGAUCUGCUUAGAGAAGGGGGCAACUCCAUCUCAGAGCGGAGAAUUUGGACAAACUUGGUCAUUUAGAGGAACUAAAAGUCGUAACAAGGUUUCCGUAGGUGAACCUGCGGAAG
rnacentral:rRNA from 2 species